GACGAACGCUGGCGGCGUGCCUAAUACAUGCAAGUCGAGCGGACUCAUCCCUUCGGGGAUGGGUUAGCGGCGGACGGGUGAGUAACACGUAGGUAACCUGCCUGUAAGAUCGGGAUAACUAUCGGAAACGAUAGCUAAGACCGAAUAAUUGAUUCUGGUGCAUGCCGGGAUUAUGAAACACGGUUCCGAAUUUAUUCGAGGGCUGUGGCUUACGGAUGGGCCUGCGGCGCAUUAGCUAGUUGGUGAGGUAAUGGCUCACCAAGGCGACGAUGCGUAGCCGACCUGAGAGGGUCGAACGGCCACACUGGGACUGAGACACGGCCCAGACUCCUACGGGAGGCAGCAGUAGGGAAUCUUCCGCAAUGGACGCAAGUCUGACGGAGCAACGCCGCGUGAGUGAUG
rnacentral:rRNA from 1 species